rnacentral:lncRNA from 1 species
AGAGACCCACCUGUUGUAGAAAGGGCAAAGUGUAGUCCAUAUGGCCCAGCAAUUAUAUCUGAUUGUGACAUAGAUGUAGAUCACUUUGGUUCAAGUGACCAUGAUGGUCUGUUACCACUACUCGAAAGUCAGAAAUACUUAAUCGAGUUAGUAAACAUUUUGGUUUUGCAGCAGCAACAAAUUAAUGAGCAGUUAGAUGAUCUGCAAUCCAAUAUAAAUAUUCUGCUUGAACUUAGGGCAGAGGAAAAAACAGGGAACCCACUGGAUGAGCCUGCGUAUUACCCUCUUGAUGAGGUAAAUGAUUCCAGUACUUUGAACAAACCCCAUGGUGAUGACUUUGUGAUUUUGACAGAGAGUUCUGUUGAUGAUUGUCGACAUUCAUGUUCACCUUGUAUUUGUGAUGAAAAUCCUGAUUUCAAUGAUGAGAGUGAGUGCUCAUCUGAUGAGUAUUUAAUUUUGGUCGUUGUUCCAAAUGUUGAUGAGGUUGAAAACAAACCUCCUGUAAUCCGUAAUUUCAGUUCGAUUAAGGGAGCGAGUCAAAUUGGAUCUUACAUAGCUCAUAGGCCAAGUUGCACCUGUACACUACCUGUAGUUGGAACACACAUGUUCACCCAAAGUCCAGAGGAGUUUGGAUUGAGGCCCUCUGAACGUCGUACGAGACUUUGGGGUUGCUGGCCAAAUGCAAUUACCUAAUUAUUUAUCAUUAAUUCUGCUUGACGAUCGAGUUAAGUAAUGGGUCCUGGUACUCCUAUUAUAGGACAUGGUUUGACCAGCCUGGCACCCUGUAGCUUGCUACUUGUUCAUGUUUUAUUGUUACUAUAACAAAGUUGUUGGUUUACAAAAUAUUUUGAUAGUGUGCUAGCUAUAUUGCUAUGCUAACGUUUUCCAAUAUCUUAUAGGAAGCAUUUUGUUUUCUUAUACUGUGAACAAGUUGAAGAGCGAGUUUGAAUUCUUCUGAAAUCUGUUUAACACAGUUUGGAGUAUUGGAAGUACAACAUUGUAACUUCUUGUUGACACCAGUUUUCUUUAAACACUGUAUUCUAUACAGAAAACAAGAUAAUAUCUUUACUAUAGCUAGAAGUUAAAGCUUGUAACAGUAAAGUAAGGACUGAUGUGUACCUUUAAAUUAUGUGUUUUUCACUUGAAAGGAACAGAGAGAGAGUUUCUAUAGCUUUUCAUUUGAGCUUACUUUUAAUUACAAAUGUGACCACAGGGGCUGGUCCGAGUAUCCCAAACUCAAACGUUCAGAUUAUUGAAGAUAUCUAUUACCCCCAUUGCUUGUUUUAAAGGUUAUUGAUUGUAACUAAUGUAAACUGAUGUACAUAUCUCCUUGGGUCAUUGUGAUGCUUAUGUACGUGCCAUUCGGGUCGCAUGGCAUAAAAGCAGGGAAGUUGUGGGAGUCCCGAUAUAACAGGACACCGCCAUUGUGUAUGGCGUGUUUAUCGUUUAUCUCUAUGACACCGCGCGCUAUUGCGUGCGGAGGGACUGUCCCUCAAUGAGAAAUCAUUUUGCGGAGAGCUCGAGUGGGCAAUCGAUGAGAAAUUCGGACACAUACAUGUAGGAGAAUGCUGUACGCUAAUGUCACUGUCAGGAACUCAGGAAUGAUAACCCUGCUUCCUAUAAUUUCGGGGGACUUAAGUUCCAGGAAUACCGAAUGUACACCACUCCAUGUACAUGCAUUGAGACAUCCUAACAUUUUGGACUGACUGACCCUGGGGGUUUUGUUUUGGGGUUUUCUAUUCCUACCUCUAUGAUUGACCAAGCAUCCGAUUGGAAAUAAACCGUAGUGAUCGAGAAGUGAUUGACUGGUGUCCAGUUUCAUCCGUGUUUAAUCAAGGACGGACCCCAGCCCUACAAUUAUAAUAGGGUAGACCACCACAUU